rnacentral:rRNA from 1 species
GACGGAGGAUGCAAGUGUUAUCCGGAAUCACUGGGCGUAAAGCGUCUGUAGGUGGUUUAAUAAGUCAACUGUUAAAUCUUGAGGCUCAACCUCAAAAUCGCAGUCGAAACUAUUAGGCUAGAGUAUAGUAGGGGUAAAGGGAAUUUCCAGUGGAGCGGUGAAAUGCGUAGAGAUUGGAAAGAACACCGAUGGCGAAGGCACUCUGCUGGGCCGACACUGACACUGAGAGACGAAAGCUAGGGGAGCGAAUGGG